rnacentral:misc_RNA from 1 species
GACAGAGGGUGCGAACGUUGCUCGGAAUCACUGGGCGUAAAGCGCGCGUAGGCGGAAGGGGAAGUCGGUUGUGAAAUCCCUGGGCUCAACCCAGGAACUGCAGCCGAAACUCUUCUUCUGGAGUGACGGAGAGGAGAGUGGAAUUCCCGGUGUAGAGGUGAAAUUCGUAGAUAUCGGGAGGAACACCAGUGGCGAAGGCGGCUCUCUGGACGUCCACUGACGCUGAGGCGCGAAAGCGUGGGGAGCAAACAGG